AUGGAAGAGAGGGUCCCAGCACUUUCAAAAGAGUUUCGAGUGUGCCAGAGCUACCAAGCAGGGAGGGAAGGAAAGAUAGCGCCUGACCUCCCCGAGGUUUCGUCUUCAAUGCAACGUGAGCUCUGCCCUCAUCAAAGAUGGCCGCCCCUUUUGACGUCAGCAGCUUUUAAUAGUCGUCUCCUGGAGGGGCGGGGAGGAAGUGUGUUGGGGGAGGGCGGGGGGGGGGAGCGAGGAAAGACGGGGGAGACGGGGAGGGAACGGGGGGGGGCGGGGGAGGAGUCGGGAGGUUCUGAGCGCUUGACUCAGCUCCCUCUGCGCUCUGCUGCAAACCUUUGUAUUUUUAAUCUUUUAUAAACACCCUAAACGGGCAAUGACUCCAUUUUAACAUUCUUUCUUGGGCACGUUUUUCUUAUGACUGUUUUCCGGAUGGUGGCCGUUGUUUUAUGCGUGUGUAUAUAUGCGUGUGUGUAUGUAUAUAUAUAUGUGUGUGUGUGUGUGUGUGUGUGUGAGUUCAUGUUUGUAUAAAUGUGUAUAUGCAUGAACAUAAAUACAUGUAAGUAUAUAUGAGUGCAUAUAUAUAUAUGUGUAUGUUAAAAUUUUUUCCCUGCUGAAUUCUCUUCAGUUGAGUCACAGAACCCAAGAGCCCGGCAGAGGAGUGGAAGGUGUUGGUGAAGGGGUGGGGUUAGACUUCAGCUGCGAUUUGUUUCCCAAAGAGGAGGGUCCGAAGGAACAUUCCUGUCCCCCUUACCAGCUCCAUAUACGGGCAGGCUAAGUGGGUUGCUCAUCUGAUGAGCGUUUUAUUUUGUCCAAGUAGCACCCAGGAUUUGGAGUUUCUAUGAAUAUGGUCAGUUGGGGAGAGAGCCUCGCGCACUUUAUUUUAAAGUACGUCAGAGUGAUUAGCAAGGAGAGAUCUCAAAUGAGUUGGGGGAAGGAAGAGGGGAGGGCAGUGAGCCCAACCAGCCUUUGGGCUUGGGGCCUCAGGAUUGGAGUUGAGAGUUGUUUGACGACAACAGCAAAAUAGAAGACGCUGUUUUCAUUUGGAUUUGCAGAGGGGACCUGGGGUUCUUGUAGGGUUGCUUAGGAUUUUUCUGCAGAGGUGCAUCCGAGCCUUCCAGGACCGUCCAGACACCGGAGGGGCAGGUGGAAGCUUCGCGUGCAAGGAGGCUCAGAUUAGGGCAUGAGUGGGGAAGAGACCUUAGAAACCAGAAUCCUAAGGCGGUGAUCCUGUGCCCCCAGCGCGUUGGGCGCCCAGGGAGGUUGGGAGGUGGCGGCGGUGGCGAUAUGCAAAUAGCGCAGCAGCGAUGGCCUCUCCCUGAUGAUUCCCAGGUGCUGAGGAGGCUGUCGCGGGGCUCCGCGGGGAGGGCUAGCUGGGAGCGUGGGAGGUGGGGGACCUUGUCUGAGGAACUGUUUGUACUUUUCUGCAGAGGAUGCGAUUAGAAGUCGUGCCUAGCAGUCUUAAAACUUGACGGCCUCUUUUGGGCUAUGGAAAGUCCUUGUCUCUUUUAGAAGAAAUAAUUUACAGCUGGGUCCGGAAAAAAACCCUGCAAACACUCCCCUCUCGCCCAUACACACACACACACACACACACACACACACACACACACACACACACACGCACAGCUCGUUUGCCUGAGAGCCAAGCUUAAGCAAUAAUAAAGCUUUUAAUUGCACACGACUGUGAGAGGGAGCAAAGAAGAAGAGUUGUAAAGGGACAGCAUUUAGAAGUGAAGCUGUUAGAAUUUAAUAAAGGAUGCUUUUAAUGAAAUCAGUAGAAGUAUUGUUUCUUAAAGACUCCCUCACCCAAAUGGCAUUUUAGAAUAUUAAUAUUUGCAAUAAUAAUUAAUGAAUAGUGUUUGGGUUUUAUUAAAGCUGGAUUCCUAAGACAAAAAGUAUUGCUGAAGUUUGUUUACUUAAAUAUUCAUUAAACAUUUCAGAUUCCUAUACAAUAAAGAAGAAAAUCUGAAUGGUCCUUAGAUAACUUAAUUGCCAAUCUCUCUCCUCCAUUGUGGUUUUCAUUUUCAUUAUAAAGCAACCUGGGAUGGGUUAGGGGCAUGGGGAGAAUGUAAUAGUACUGUAAAAUUCUGUAUAGUAAGAAUUUUUUCCUAAAUCUGACAAAAAAUAACAAAUUAAAAAGACAGCCCACAGAAGCUUGGGAAGAGUCAGAAAGGGGAAAAAAACUGCAGUGAGAAGAAAAGAAAUGUGUGUCUGACCCUCAGAAUAGAUAUCAUUCAAGCAGGAAGUUUUGUGAAAGAAUGGAGGAGGCAGGGGAUUUUCCAGAUUAAAAAAAAAGUAACUACGUCAGUGGUCAGUGAUGGAGCCUAACCCUGCAGGCACGAGCAAUGCGGCAGCCACAGGGAAGGGAGGACUGGCUUGGGAUUCUGAGUUUUUAACUGCUGCUACCCCACACUGACAACUUGAGAAACUGCACAUGAGAAAAGAGAGUCAGAUCCAUUCAAG
rnacentral:lncRNA from 1 species